rnacentral:lncRNA from 1 species
AUGCUUGAAAAAGGAAAUGAGGAUUUCAAAGAAGAGAUUUUUAAACUACACAAUAAGAUUUUUCAUCUUGAAAAUGCUCUGAAACGCUCUGAAAAAGAAAAUUGUUUAUUAGAUAAGCAAGUUCAAAGAAUGCAAUUAAAACUGGAAACUGAUGAGCGAACUAUUCAAAAGUUAAUUGAAAUUCAAGAACAAAUGAAGGCAGAAAUUGAAAAUGAAAGAUCAUUAGUUAAAAGUCUGACUUCAGGACUGCAAGUAGAAGAAAACGAAGUUAAAAAAAACAAACUGCCAGUGCAAAGUGAAACUGAAAAUAUAAUGCCUGAGGAGAAAAGAGAAUUCCAAAAGGACCAUCUUACAAAACAAAAGAAAGAGCUGACUGACAAGAUAACAUAUGUAGCACCUGAUCAGGAAGCUGCUAAAAGAACACUGACUGCUGAAAAUGAUAAACUGAAGCAAUAUAAAGGUCAAGAAUGGCAAACCGUAGAAAGCCCUAGAAAAACAACUGAGCAAAGUAAUAUAAUAUGGAAAAAGAAAUUCCAGAUUCUACAAAAGAGCUGUCAGGCUUGCCAUGGAGCUGUGACUGAGAUUGGAAGUCUUGGAAUACCUAUGAAUUUCCUUGGUCUAAAGCUGGUCCCACUAUAA